rnacentral:rRNA from 1 species
UUAAAGUCUAACCUGCCCACUGAAAUAUUUUAAAUGGCCGCAGUAUUCUAACUGUGCAAAGGUAGCAUAAUCAUUAGUCUUUUAAUUGAAGGCUGGAAUGAAUGGUUGGACGAAAUAUUAACUGUUUCAUUUUAAUUUUUUAUAGAAUUUUAUUUUUUAGUCAAAAAGCUAAAAUUUUUUUAAAAGACGAGAAGACCCUAUAAAUCUUUAUAUUUUAUUUAUUUUAAUUUUAAAGAUUAUUUUAGUUUUAAUAAAAUAAAAUAUUUUAUUGGGGUGAUAUUAAAAUUUAAAAAACUUUUAAUUUAAAAAUCCAUUAAUUUAUGAGUAAUUGAUCCAUUAAUAAUGAUUAAAAAUUUAAGUUACUUUAGGGAUAACAGCGUAAUUUUUUUGGAGAGUUCAUAUCGAUAAAAAAGAUUGCGACCUCGAUGUUGGAUUAAGAUAUAAUUUUGGGUGUAGCCGUUCAAAUUUUAAGUCUGUUCGACUUUUAAAUUCUUACAUGAUCUGAGUUCAAACCGGCGUAAGCCAGGUUGGUUUCUAUCUUUAAUUAAUUAUAAUAUUUUAGUACGAAAGGACCAAAUAUUAAAAUAAUUAUAUUUUAAAAAAGAAUAUUAUUAAUAAUU